UGCACUUUUUGCGCAGGCGGAGCUCGACCGCAAACCGAAGAAAUAGUCCAGUUUAUUGAUGCUCACCGGGCGUUGUAUGUGUAUGGUAUCGAGCCAAUCUGUCGGGUAUUGAAGAUUGCACCA
rfam:Idiomarina xiamenensis 10-D-4 contig14, whole genome shotgun sequence.